UAACAAGGAUUCCCCUAGUAACUGCGAGUGAAGCGGGAAAAGCUCAAAUUUAAAAUCUGGCAGUCUUUGGCUGUCCGAGUUGUAAUCUAGAGAAGUAUUAUCCGCGCUGGACCGUGUACAAGUCUCCUGGAAUGGAGCGUCAUAGAGGGUGAGAAUCCCGUCUUUGACACGGACUGCCAGGGCUUUGUGAUGUGCUCUCGAAGAGUCGAGUUGUUUGGGAAUGCAGCUCAAAAUGGGUGGUAAAUUCCAUCUAAAGCUAAAUAUUGGCGAGAGACCGAUAGCGAACAAGUACCGUGAGGGAAAGAUGAAAAGAACUUUGGAAAGAGAGUUAAACAGUACGUGAAAUUGCUGAAAGGGAAACGCUUGAAGUCAGUCGCAUUGGCCAGGGAUCAACCUUGCUUUUUUGCUUGGCUUACUUUCUGGUUGAUGGGUCAGCAUCAAUUUUGACUGGUAGAAAAAGUUCAAGGGAAUGUGGCAUCUUCGGAUGUGUUAUAGCCUUUGUUCACAUAUAUCAGUUGGGAUUGAGGAACUCAGCACGCCGCAAGGCCGGGUUUUUAACCACGUACGUGCUUAGGAUGCUGGCAUAAUGGCUUUAAUCGACCCGUCUUGAAACACGGACCAAGGAGUCUAACAUGCCUGCGAGUGUUUGGGUGAAAAACCCGAGCGCGUAAUGAAAGUGAAAGUUGAGAUCCCUGUCAUGGGGAGCAUUGACGCCCGGAUCUGACCUUUUGUGACGAUUCUGCGGUAGAGCAUGUAUGUUGGGACCCGAAAGAUGGUGAACUAUGCCUGAAUAGGGUGAAGCCAGAGGAAACUCUGGUGGAGGCUCGUAGCGAUUCUGACGUGCAAAUCGAUCGUCAAAUUUGGGUAUAGGGGCGAAAGACUAAUCGAACCAUC
rnacentral:rRNA from 1 species